UACGGGGGGAGCAAGCGUUGUUCGGAAUCACUGGGCGUAAAGGGCGUGUAGGCGGUUCGGUAAGUGGGAUGUGAAAUCCCUCGGCUCACCCGAGGACCUGCAUCCCAUACUGCUGAGCUUGAGUACAGGAGAGGGUGGGGGAAUUCCUGGUGUAGCGGUGAAAUGCGUAGAUAUCAGGAGGAACACCGGUGGCGAAGGCGCCCACCUGGCCUGCUACUGACGCUAAGGCGCGAAAGCUAGGGGAGCAAACGGG
rnacentral:rRNA from 1 species